CCCCUUCCCGCGCCGGGCUGGAGCGCCUAUAUUGGGGGUGCCGGGCAACCGGCUAUGGCGAUAAACGCCGCGUGGCAUAGACGGAUCGGACCCGGGGGCAGUACCCGGCGCCUCCACCAAUUCCAGCGGUCCCCUUCCAGGGACCGCUCCAUGGGGGCGACACAGGAUCGACGGACGUAGUAAAGGCGCGGUUUUUGCUCGGUAUGGUUCCGCCGUGACGGGCCAAACACAAGUGCCAACGACAACGUAGCACUCGCUGCUGCCGCCUAAACAGCGGACGUAAGCGCGGUUCGGGGGGGCACCGGGCAACAGAAGCCCCCUCACU
rnacentral:tmRNA from 1 species